AUUGAACGCUGGCGGCAGGCCUAACACAUGCAAGUCGAACGGUAACAGGAAGCAGCUUGCUGCUUCGCUGACGAGUGGCGGACGGGUGAGUAAUGUCUGGGAAACUGCCUGAUGGAGGGGGAUAACUACUGGAAACGGUAGCUAAUACCGCAUAACGUCGCAAGACCAAAGAGGGGGACCUUAGGGCCUCUUGCCAUCGGAUGUGCCCAGAUGGGAUUAGCUAGUAGGUGGGGUAACGGCUCACCUAGGCGACGAUCCCUAGCUGGUCUGAGAGGAUGACCAGCCACACUGGAACUGAGACACGGUCCAGACUCCUACGGGAGGCAGCAGUGGGGAAUAUUGCACAAUGGGCGCAAGCCUGAUGCAGCCAUGCCGCGUGUAUGAAGAAGGCCUUCGGGUUGUAAAGUACUUUCAGCGGGGAGGAAGGGAGUAAAGUUAAUACCUUUGCUCAUUGAUGUUACCCGCAGAAGAAGCACCGGCUAACUCCGUG
rnacentral:rRNA from 1 species